GGGUCCAUAGAAGCAUUUGACUGCAAAUCAAGAGGUCACCAGUUCGAACCUGGUUGGGCCCU
rfam:Ipomoea nil DNA, scaffold: scaffold2036, cultivar: Tokyo-kokei standard.